AUUGAACGCUGGCGGCAGGCCUAACACAUGCAAGUCGAACGGAGUGGCGGACGGGUGAGUAAUGUCUGUGAAUCUGCCUGUUAGUGGGGGAUAACGUCCGGAAACGGUCGCUAAUACCGCAUACUAUCAAGUGUGCCUAGGUGGGAUUAGCUAGUUGGUGGGGUAAAGGCCUACCAAGGCGACGAUCCGUAACUGGUCUGAGAGGAUGAUCAGUCACACUGGAACUGAGACACGGUCCAGACUCCUACGGGAGGCAGCAGUGGGGAAUAUUGGACAAUGGGCGAAAGCCUGAUCCAGCCAUGCCGCGUGUGUGAAGAAGGUCUUCGGAUUGUAAAGCACUUUAAGUUGGGAGGCGUUACCAACAGAAUAAGCACCGGCUAACUUCGUGCCAGCAGCCGCGGUAAUUC
rnacentral:rRNA from 1 species